rnacentral:rRNA from 1 species
AGUGAACGCUGGCGGUAGGCCUAACACAUGCAAGUCGAACGGCAGCACAGUAAGAUCUUGCUCUUACGGGUGGCGAGUGGCGGACGGGUGAGGAAUACAUCGGAAUCUACUUUUUCGUGGGGGAUAACGUAGGGAAACUUACGCUAAUACCGCAUACGACCUACGGGUGAAAGCAGGGGAUCUUCGCACCUUGCGCGAUUGAAUUAGCCGAUGUCGGAUUAGCUAGUUGGCUGGGUAAAGGCCCACCAAGGCGACGAUCCGUAGCUGGUCUGAGAGGAUGAUCAGCCACACUGGAACUGAGACACGGUCCAGACUCCUACGGGAGGCAGCAGUGGGGAAUAUUGGACAAUGGGCGCAAGCCUGAUCCAGCCAUACCGCGUGAGUGAAGAAGGCCUUCGGGUUGUAAAGCCCUUUUGUUGGGAAAGAAAAGCAGCAGGUUAAUACCCCGAUGUUCUGACGGUACCCAAAGAAUAAGCACCGGCUAACUUCGUG